rnacentral:lncRNA from 1 species
UGGGUUACAAUUAAAUUUGGUUAACAAACUAAACCGGUUUAAACAUAAAAUGGAUUACAAUACAAACCUAAACCUAAAUAAAUAAAAAAUCUUCAUGCCCUUCGUGUCUUGCGCCGUCAAGGUAUGCCUGGAACUGAAGUGCCGUCAUUUUGCUCCGGUCGCUUCAAGACCGUCUCUCUUGGCGGGAUUCCGGAGCCUGAGGGGAUUGAAUCUCGAUUGAUAGCUAGAGAUGGAACAGGAGAGUGAGCGGCGAUAGAAGCUGUGAGCGGUGGAGAUAGGAGGAAGUCGUGAGUGAUGAGCGGUGGAGGCAUAAGAGCCGUGAGCGGUGAAUCUAAAAGGAUGAGGUGAGCAGAAGAGAUAAGAGGAUGAGGUGAGCGGUGGAGAUAGGAGAGCCAUGAGCAGUGGAGAUAGGAGUAAGAAUAUGGAGGUGAGACGAAUGAUGAAGUAAAAUAUUAUCGAAGUGUGGAAGGAGGAGAGAAUAGGAGAUAGAAGAAGCUCAAUGUGAAGGAACUGAAAACAAAUCUGAAGGAGAGAGGAGAAGGGGGAAGAGAAAUCUGAACCAUUAGAUUAAAAACUAAUCAAGGGUGUAGAUAGCAAUCCUUGCAAAAAGAUAUUGGCCAAUAAGAAAUGAGAAAAUUUUAAAGAUUCACAAAUAAUUGUAAUUUUAUUGCUGUUCAAAUUGUCGUUAAUAUGUCGUUUUAAAAAUCCCAAAUAACUGUAACUCAUUUUUUAAGAUUCACGAAAAGAAAAGUUUACAUCUUGCACACACACUAAUAUUUCAUUGUAAAGUUCAUAUGCAAUAUCUGGUUUAGAUGAUACCGCCACAAGUCCGGGACAUCAAUAAAUAUAAAAUAAAACGGAGGGAGUACCGCUUAUUUUCGACAUUUGUUUCUGAUGCUAAGUAACAACGUACCCAUAUGUUGCUAAUUAGCUUCACUUUCUAAAUGUCAAUAAUUAACGACGCAAUGCCUAAAUGUGGUAUUUUAAAAUUUUGUUUUAAAUUAAUUAAAUCAUGUAACUAAAAACUUUCAGAUUAAACCAGUUUACAGAAAAUGGAAUUGGUUUGCAAAAUAAAUAAUCAAAAUUAGUUUAUAAAUAAAAUCUGGGUUACAAUUAAAUUUGGUUAACAAACUAAACCGGUUUAAACAUAAAAUGGAUUACAAUACAAACCUAAACCUAAAUAAAUAAAAAAUCUUCAUGCCCUUCGUGUCUUGCGCCGUCAAGGUAUGCCUGGAACUGAAGUGCCGUCAUUUUGCUCCGGUCGCUUCAAGACCGUCUCUCUUGGCGGGAUUCCGGAGCCUGAGGGGAUUGAAUCUCGAUUGAUAGCUAGAGAUGGAACAGGAGAGUGAGCGGCGAUAGAAGCUGUGAGCGGUGGAGAUAGGAGGAAGUCGUGAGUGAUGAGCGGUGGAGGCAUAAGAGCCGUGAGCGGUGAAUCUAAAAGGAUGAGGUGAGCAGAAGAGAUAAGAGGAUGAGGUGAGCGGUGGAGAUAGGAGAGCCAUGAGCAGUGGAGAUAGGAGUAAGAAUAUGGAGGUGAGACGAAUGAUGAAGUAAAAUAUUAUCGAAGUGUGGAAGGAGGAGAGAAUAGGAGAUAGA